rnacentral:rRNA from 1 species
GGUCAUUUANAGNAAGUAAAAGUCGUANCAAGGUCUCCGUUGGUGAACCAGCGGAGGGAUCAUUACCGGAGUUUACAACUCCCAAACCCCUGUGAACAUACCAAUUGUUGCCUCGGCGGAUCAGNCCGCUCCCGGUAAAACGGGACGGCCCGCCAGAGGACCCCUAAACUCUGUUUCUAUAUGUAACUUNUGAGUAAAACCAUAAAUAAAUCAAAACUUUCAACAACGGAUCUCUUGGUUCUGGCAUCGAUGAAGAACGCAGCAAAAUGCGAUAAGUAAUGUGAAUUGCAGAAUUCAGUGAAUCAUCGAAUCUUUGAACGCACAUUGCGCCCGCCAGUAUUCUGGCGGGCAUGCCUGUUCGAGCGUCAUUUCAACCCUCAAGCCCAGCUUGGUGUUGGGACUCGCGAGUCAAAUCGCGUUCCCCAAAUUGAUNGGCGGUCACGUCGAGCUUCCAUAGCGUAGUAGUAAAANCCUCGUUACUGGUAAUCGUCNCGGCCACGCCGUUAAACCCCAACUUNUGAAUGUUGACCUCGAAUCAGG